GACGAGGGGUCCUAGCGUUGUUCGGAAUCAUUGGGCGUAAAGCGUGUGUAGGCUGCCAUCCAAGUCAGUUGUGAAAUCCCCGGGCUUAACCCGGGAAGUGCUUCUGAUACUGUUUGGCUUGAGUACUGGAGAGGAUAGUAGAAUUCCUGGUGUAGUGGUGAAAUACGUAGAUAUCAGGAGGAAUACCGGUGGCGAAGGCGGCUAUCUGGCCAUGUACUGACGCUGAGACGCGAAAGCUAGGGGAGCAAACGAG
rnacentral:rRNA from 1 species